rnacentral:lncRNA from 1 species
CGCACAACACAUAUACUAGUUGCAUCUACGGCUGACGCACGUUAGGAAACUUAAGACAGGCGACAGAACUAUUAAAAAAGACAGAGGUUGUAACUCUUAAACAAGCUUUGCUGGUACCAGCUGAAAUGUGCGGAAACAGCAAAUCAGGCAUACCAUUUCAGAAGCUUUUCGAAUGAAAGAACUGUUUGUCAAUGGCUGGGCGCCCUCGCGAAUAAUUUAUGCGGUGUUACAAUAGGCCGACGGCGACAAUUUACGAAGUCCUGGAGCAUACUAAAAGCUUCGCGAAUAUGGACCCUACAUUAUAAUUAAUUUUAACCCUGACUGCCAUUAUAGUCAUUAUUCGGCACUGCAUGAAGCAUGCCCGUGGCAUGGUGGAGCUGACCUCCACACAAGCCACUGCGACCGACAAUAUUCUGUUUUCUUCAUUACUUUUCAAACAUUUCCCGAAUUUCCUGCUUCUAAGGACGUUUGCAUCCGCAAGCUUACAGAUUUGUGGCUCCAGAACGCGUUUCCGCUCUCCGUCCCACCAGCUCAAGGGCACUUUUAUUAGCUUUUCUUUCUUUCACGUUGCUAAUUUUACUCUUGGGUGCAACGCUCGAAAGCGCGGAUCCGUUUGAAAAUACGUGAGCCGGCCAUAAAACUUGGAAGAUAAAGAUUACGAGGUCGGCCCGAAAGAUAGAGCUUUUGCCAAGCUUCUACCGGUUUUCGCACUAAAAUAACCUUCAGCUCUAUGGGCUUAAGGCCAGAAGGAGCCUGCGCAAGCGUUUUUUACAACGGGUGACCCACACCAUGGAAUGCUAUAAUGCCCGUAGUUUGAACAUAGGAAAGCUCAAUUUUGCUCAGGCUACAGCUUGUACUUAAAGCGAAUGUUCACAGUUAUGGCUGCAGUGCUGAACGAACAGUGCGUCUUCACACUGCUCGUCUAGCGACGAAACGCGUUACUUGGCGGGUUCUGAAAUUACUACUACUCAG